rnacentral:rRNA from 1 species
GGAUGAUGAGGUUAGCAGAAAGUGGCGAACGGGUGAGUAACGCGUGGGUAAUCUACCCUGUUAAGUGGGGGAUAACCCUCCGAAAGGAGGGCUAAUACCGCAUAAUAUCUUCUCCUCAUAAAGAGAAGAAGAUUAAAGAUGGCCUCUAUACUAUGCUAUCGCUUCAGGAUGAGCCUGCGUCCUAUUAGUUAGUUGGUGGGGUAAUGGCCUACCAAGACCACAAUGGGUAGCCGGUCUGAGAGGAUGUACGGCCACACUGGGACUGAGAUACGGCCCAGACUCCUACGGGAGGCAGCAGUGGGGAAUAUUGCGCAAUGGGGGAAACCCUGACGCAGCGACGCCGCGUGGAUGAUGAAGGCCCUUGGGUUGUAAAAUCCUGUUCUGGGGGAAGAAAGCUUAAAGGUCCAAUAAACCCUUAAGCCUGACGGUACCCCAAGAGAAAGCUCCGGCUAAUUAUGUGCCAGCAGCCGCGGUAAUACAUAAGGAGCAAGCGUUAUCCGGAAUUAUUGGGCGUAAAGAGCUCGUAGGCGGUCUUAAAAGUCAGGUGUGAAAUUAUCAGGCUUAACCUGAUAAGGUCAUCUGAAACUUUAAGACUUGAGGUUAGAAGAGGAAAGUGGAAUUCCCGGUGUAGCGGUGAAAUGCGUAGAUAUCGGGAGGAACCACCAGUGGCGAAGGCGGCUUUCUGGUCUAUCUCUGACGCUGAGGAGCGAAAGCUAGGGGAGCAAACGGGAUUAGAUACCCCGGUAGUCCUAGCUGUAAACGAUGGAUACUAGGUGUGGGAGGUAUCGACCCCUUCUGUGCCGCAGCUAACGCAUUAAGUAUCCCGCCUGGGGAGUACGGUCGCAAGGCUGAAACUCAAAUGAAUUGACGG